UGCCAGUAGUCAUAUGCUUGUCUCAAAGAUUAAGCCAUGCAUGUGUAAGUACGAGCGUCGUACCCAGCGAAACUGCGAACGGCUCAUUAAAUCAGUUGUGGUUCCUUAGAUCGUUGCCCACCACGUGGAUAACUGUGGCAAUUCUAGAGCUAAUACAUGCACCAAAGCCCCGAUCCCUCAGCGGAGAAGGGCGCAGUUAUUAGACCAAGACCAACGUGCCGGCUCCCCCUCCGGGGUGUGGGCCGCACUCGUCUGUGGUGACUCUGAGUAACCUCGAGCGGAUCGCACGGCCCCUGCGCCGGCGACGUAUCUUUCAAAUGUCUGCCCCAUCAAAUGUCGAUGGGAGGUGCCAUGCCUCCCAUGUUUGCAACGGGUGACGGGGAAUCAGGGUUCGAUUCCGGAGAGGGAGCAUGAGAAAUGGCUACCACAUCCAAGGAAGGCAGCAGGCGCGCAAAUUACCCACUCCUAACACGGGGAGGUAGUGACGAAAACUAACGAUGCGGGACUCCAUCGAGGCUCCGUAAUCGGAAUGAGUACACUUUAAAUCCUUUAGCGAGGAUCUAUUGGAGGGCAAGUCUGGUGCCAGCAGCCGCGGUAAUUCCAGCUCCAGUAGCGUAUAUUAAAGUUGUUGCAGUUAAAAAGCUCGUAGUUGGAUCUCGGGCUCGCCGGCACGCGGUCUCGCAGGUCUCGGGCAAAUGCCUCCUGCGUUGCACUGCCGUCGGCGCCCAACCGGCGGGGGGGUCGGACACUGUAAGAGUGUCGGCCCUGCCUUCUCACGAGGGGGGCAGUUGCGGGUUCCCUUGACUGGGCAGCCCGUGGCACCCGUCCGUUUUACUUUGAAAAAAUUAGAGUGUUCAAGGCAGGCUUUCGACGGCCUGAAUAAUGGUGCAUGGAAUAAUGGAAUAGGACCCCGGUCCUAUUUUGUUGGUUUUCGGGACUCGAGGUAAUGAUUAAGAGGGACAGCCGGGGGCAUUCGUACUGCGGCGUGAGAGGUGAAAUUCUUGGACCGCCGCAAGACGAACUACUGCGAAAGCAUUUGCCAAGAAUGUUUUCAUUAAUCAAGAACGAAAGUCAGAGGUUCGAAGACGAUCAGAUACCGUCCUAGUUCUGACCAUAAACGAUGCCGACUGGCGAUCCGCCGGAGUUGUACCUAUGACCCGGCGGGCAGCCCCCGGGAAACCAAAGUCUUUGGGUUCCGGGGGAAGUAUGGUUGCAAAGCUGAAACUUAAAGGAAUUGACGGAAGGGCACCACCAGGAGUGGAGCCUGCGGCUUAAUUUGACUCAACACGGGGAAACUCACCCGGCCCGGACACCGUAAGGAUUGACAGAUUGAGAGCUCUUUCUCGAUUCGGUGGGUGGUGGUGCAU
rnacentral:rRNA from 1 species